AAUAGAUAGGACAAGUAGUGGUCAAGAAAUGAUUUUACUGCUUCAACUCCUUGCACAGUACGGAGCUGACAAGGAAAACGAAUAAUUCGGCAAUAGCAGGCGCGUGGCAGUCAACAAAACAAAGACUGACAUCUUCUCUUGCGGAAUAAUGCACUGAUGCAUUAUUUCGCAAGUAAAGUGACGUGUACCUACUGUCUUUCCGGCUGCGGUGAUCUUCGGGUAUGUAGCGAUACAGAAGACAAUGCUGGAAAAAGGUGCUGCGGGUGCUGGCCGCUGCAUGGAAGUUGUGAAAAAAAUUAUUUGGUUGCAGGCCGUUCUUGUUUGCUAGCAGCCGGUGGGCGCAGAUGUUUCCAAUAGUUAAUUAAAUCACUGAGCUUUCGAAUAUCCCAAGAUGAAUUUGAUGGUGUAACUAAAGCAGCUACUGCAAUGGCGUUUGAUCUGUGCUUAUAAUAAAUUAUCAUUAUCAGUGCUUCCGAAAUAUAUAUACACAUCUCUGCAUAUCAUCCAUAGCUAUAAAAGCUAUUCCCAGCUAGUGUGUUUUUUCGCAGCUCUUGCAGAUGGAACACACCUGCAGCGGUACGAUACAGAGCCUGCGGUCCCUUUGCACAUCGGCAAUUAUGCGUGUACUCUCGACGAUGUUUAGAACUUUUCAACUAUAUCUACCGAACUUCCAAUCGCUUGACCAUUAUCGCCAUUGUGUUUUUCGCCGAUCAAUCCGGAAACAGUUUCGCUUAUGGUCCCUCACAGGCAGUCGGAUGAUGUUUAACCGCCACUAACAAGACAGACGCUGUUGUGAUCCGCACUUGAUUGGUGAACAGACGCUCGAUCAAAUUCGUACCUCCGGAGAGAAGUAAACCCCCAUCCAUGUCGAAAUAGGCCAAAGUUUCCACCACGGUUGUAUACUCGAUUGAUCAGCACCACGAAGCUGAAGGGAUGGAAGUUGUAUGGCAGGAGGCUAAAGACCACUCUAUGAGAUUUUUUUCAAUUACACAAAGUAUAAAUCGUACAUCAUCCAAAAAAUCAUCAGCUAACGUUUUAGUACUUCAUGUAGUUAUGCAUCAAAGGAUAACGUUAAAUUGAACCGAAUGUUAUUUUAUAAUUAAAGCUUAUUCCCUGAGCGCUUGCAAUCAUUAGAAUUGUAA